rnacentral:rRNA from 1 species
UAGGGAAUAUUGGGCAAUGGGCGAGAGCCUGACCCAGCCAUGCCGCGUGCAGGAAGAAGGCCUUCUGGGUUGUAAACUGCUUUUGAUCGGGAACAAAGAGUCCAUGCGUGGAAAGUUGAGUGUACCGAUAGAAUAAGCACCGGCUAACUCCGUGCCAGCAGCCGCGGUAAUACGGAGGGUGCAAGCGUUGUCCGGAUUUAUUGGGUUUAAAGGGUGCGUAGGCGGUCUUUUAAGUCAGCGGUGAAAGCCUCCAGCUUAACUGGAGAAAUGCCAUUGAUACUGGAAGACUUGAGUACAGACGAGGUAGGCGGAAUUGACAGUGUAGCGGUGAAAUGCAUAGAUAUUGUCAAGAACACCGAUUGCGAAGGCAGCUUACUAGACUGUAACUGACGCUGAGGCACGAAAGUGUGGGGAUCAAACAGGAUUAGAUACCCGUGUAGUCC